rfam:Oryza sativa (indica cultivar-group) chromosome 1, whole genome shotgun sequence.
AUCCCGUUGUGAGGACAGGCGGCCACAUACUCCUGCAGACGUUCCCAUGCUUCGGGAAUAGUCUCAUCCCUUGUCUGCUGGAAACUUGAAAUCCUUCCACGAAGGGC